GACGAACGCUGGCGGCGUGCCUAAUACAUGCAAGUUGAGCGCUGAAGGUUGGUACUUGUACCAACUGGAUGAGCAGCGAACGGGUGAGUAACGCGUGGGGAAUCUGCCUUUGAGCAGGGGACAACAUUUGGAAACGAAUGCUAAUACCGCAUAAAAACUUUAAACACAAGUUUUAAGUUUGAAAGAUGCAAUUGCAUCACUCAAAGAUGAUCCCGCGUUGUAUUAGCUAGUUGGUGAGGUAAAGGCUCACCAAGGCGAUGAUACAUAGCCGACCUGAGAGGGUGAUCGGCCACAUUGGGACUGAGACACGGCCCAAACUCCUACGGGAGGCAGCAGUAGGGAAUCUUCGGCAAUGGACGAAAGUCUGAACGAGCAACGCCGCGUGAGUGAAGAAGGUUUUCGGAUCGUAAAACUCUGUUGGUAGAGAAGAACGUUGGUGAGAGUGGAAAGCUCACCAAGUGACGGUAACUACCCAGAAAGGGACGGCUAACUACGUG
rnacentral:rRNA from 1 species